rnacentral:rRNA from 1 species
CGUUCUGUAAGCCUGUGAAGGUGUGCUGUGAGGCAUGCUGGAGGUAUCAGAAGUGCGAAUGCUGACAUAAGUAACGAUAAAGCGGGUGAAAAGCCCGCUCGCCGGAAGACCAAGGGUUCCUGUCCAACGUUAAUCGGGGCAGGGUGAGUCGACCCCUAAGGCGAGGCCGAAAGGCGUAGUCGAUGGGAAACAGGUUAAUAUUCCUGUACUUGGUGUUACUGCGAAGGGGGGACGGAGAAGGCUAUGUUGGCCGGGCGACGGUUGUCCCGGUUUAAGCGUGUAGGCUGGUUUUCCAGGCAAAUCCGGAAAAUCAAGGCUGAGGCGUGAUGACGAGGCACUACGGUGCUGAAGCAACAAAUGCCCUGCUUCCAGGAAAAGCCUCUAAGCAUCAGGUAACAUCAAAUCGUACCCCAAACCGACACAGGUGGUCAGGUAGAGAAUACCAAGGCGCUUGAGAGAACUCGGGUGAAGGAACUAGGCAAAAUGGUGCCGUAACUUCGGGAGAAGGCACGCUGAUAUGUAGGUGAAGUCCCUCGCGGAUGGAGCUGAAAUCAGUCGAAGAUACCAGCUGGCUGCAACUGUUUAUUAAAAACACAGCACUGUGCAAACACGAAAGUGGACGUAUACGGUGUGACGCCUGCCCGGUGCCGGAAGGUUAAUUGAUGGGGUCAGCGCAAGCGAAGCUCUUGAUCGAAGCCCCGGUAAACGGCGGCCGUAACUAUAACGGUCCUAAGGUAGCGAAAUUCCUUGUCGGGUAAGUUCCGACCUGCACGAAUGGCGUAAUGAUGGCCAGGCUGUCUCCACCCGAGACUCAGUGAAAUUGAACUCGCUGUGAAGAUGCAGUGUACCCGCGGCAAGACGGAAAGACCCCGUGAACCUUUACUAUAGCUUGACACUGAACAUUGAGCCUUGAUGUGUAGGAUAGGUGGGAGGCUUAGAAGUGUGGACGCCAGUCUGCAUGGAGCCGACCUUGAAAUACCACCCUUUAAUGUUUGAUGUUCUAACGUUGACCCGUAAUCCGGGUUGCGGACAGUGUCUGGUGGGUAGUUUGACUGGGGCGGUCUCCUCCUAAAGAGUAACGGAGGAGCACGAAGGUUGGCUAAUCCUGGUCGGACAUCAGGAGGUUAGUGCAAUGGCAUAAGCCAGCUUGACUGCGAGCGUGACGGCGCGAGCAGGUGCGAAAGCAGGUCAUAGUGAUCCGGUGGUUCUGAAUGGAAGGGCCAUCGCUCAACGGAUAAAAGGUACUCCGGGGAUAACAGGCUGAUACCGCCCAAGAGUUCAUAUCGACGGCGGUGUUUGGCACCUCGAUGUCGGCUCAUCACAUCCUGGGGCUGAAGUAGGUCCCAAGGGUAUGGCUGUUCGCCAUUUAAAGUGGUACGCGAGCUGGGUUUAGAACGUCGUGAGACAGUUCGGUCCCUAUCUGCCGUGGGCGCUGGAGAACUGAGGGGGGCUGCUCCUAGUACGAGAGGACCGGAGUGGACGCAUCACUGGUGUUCGGGUUGUCAUGCCAAUGGCACUGCCCGGUAGCUAAAUGCGGAAGAGAUAAGUGCUGAAAGCAUCUAAGCACGAAACUUGCCCCGAGAUGAGUUCUCCCUGACCCUUUAA